UAUAUUUUAGUGUAAGAUGCACAUGGAUUUUUGAAAUCUUUAGAUUUGGUUUAAUUCCAAAAUUUAUAA
rnacentral:tRNA from 1 species